GAUGAACGCUAGCGGCAGGCCUAACACAUGCAAGUCGAGGGGUAGAGGCUUUCGGGCCUUGAGACCGGCGCACGGGUGCGUAACGCGUAUGCAAUCUGCCUUGUACUGAGGGAUAGCCCAGAGAAAUUUGGAUUAACACCUCAUAGUAUUUUAGUGUGGCAUCACAUUAUUAUUAAAGGUUACGGUACAAGAUGGGCAUGCGUCCCAUUAGCUAGUUGGUAUGGUAACGGCAUACCAAGGCUACGAUGGGUAGGGGUCCUGAGAGGGAGAUCCCCCACACUGGUACUGAGACACGGACCAGACUCCUACGGGAGGCAGCAGUGAGGAAUAUUGGUCAAUGGUCGCAAGACUGAACCAGCCAUGCCGCGUGCAGGAUGAAGCAUCUAUGGUGUGUAAACUGCUUUUGUACGGGAAGAAACACCGCUACGUGUAGCGGCUUGACGGUACCGUAAGAAUAAGGAUCGGCUAACUCCGUGCCAGCAGCCGCGGUAACAC
rnacentral:rRNA from 1 species